AGGUAGCAUAAUAAAUAGUCUUUUAAUUGAAGUCUAGUAUGAAUGGUCGGACAUGAAGUAAGCUGUUUUAACUUUGAUGUUUGAAUUUUACUUUUAAGUGAAAAGGCUUAAAUUUAAUGGUGGGACGAUAAGACCCUAUAAAGCUUUACGUUUCAUUCUUCAGUUGUGGGGUUUAGGGUUUCUUAUUCUUAUUGAAUGUAACGUUUCGUUGGGGCGACGGAAAUAUAAAAUGGUAACUGUUUUAUUUUAAAAACACGUCUUUGUGGGAGAGUUGAUCCUUUUUAGAGAUUAUAAGAUUUAAGUUACUUUAGGGAUAACAG
rnacentral:rRNA from 1 species